UACGUAGGGUGCAAGCGUUGUCCGGAAUUAUUGGGCGUAAAGAGCUCGUAGGCGGUUUGUCACGUCUGCUGUGAAAUCCCGAGGCUCAACCUCGGGCCUGCAGUGGGUACGGGCAGACUGGAGUGCGGUAGGGGAGAAUGGAAUUCCUGGUGUAGCGGUGAAAUGCGCAGAUAUCAGGAGGAACACCGGUGGCGAAGGCGGGUCUCUGGGCAGUAACUGACGCUGAGGAGCGAAAGCGUGGGGAGCGAACAGG
rnacentral:rRNA from 1 species